rnacentral:rRNA from 4 species
UCGAGACCAGGACGUUGAUAGGUCAGGUGUGGAAGUGCAGUAAUGCAUUAAGCUAACUGAUACUAAUUGCCCGUACGGCUUGUCCC